rnacentral:lncRNA from 1 species
AUGAGCCUCUGCAUUAGGCAGUUGGCUGCUCCCCUGAGAACAGACAUCUUGGUAGUGCAGGGAGCUGGGGCUGGCCAAGCAUGUAUUCAGUUCCAGGCCAAGACUGUAUUCCACCUGGGCCCAAAGCCAAAGAUCCAGGGCUCAGGCUUGUCUCAGCCACUCCAUGUUCUUUCUCUGCAUAGGUUGUGCUGCCUCUCUGCCCAUCCUGGGCUGGGGACAUGUAUCCAGCAUUCCUGUGAACAUAUUAUCCUGUCUCCCAUAUCUUUGCAGGCAAGCAUCAUCAGUUGGACCCAGGGGAAGAGGAAUGAGUCUACUCCAGAUCCAGUCCCAGCCCCCAUAUAGUGGUUGAAAGAUCCCAUGUUCAGUCAUCUCAGGGCCAGAGCUUGACUCUUGGGGGAUUGGAGUGGGGGGUGUGUGUGCUGUAUGUGUGUGAUGAGAAGACACUUUUGAUAUGUGUCUAUAUAAAACUGAUAGCUGCAGCUAUCUGGUUAUCCUCUCCUCAUCUCUCCUGGGCACAAUGAGCAUCUUGUUAGAAGCUGAGAUGGUUUAGUUUUCAUAGGGCACUCAGCCUACUCCCUAUUCUACUAUGACUUCUGUUCUAUUUUCUGUAGUGUUUCUCUUGGGUUAACAUGCCAAUGGGAAGGAGGAAAGAGCUGUUAUAAGCAGGUGGCUGCUGCUGACUGGCUGGGAAUAAGGCUGGGCUGAUGUAGCUUAUUUCUUCAGUCACAAUCACAAAGUUGGAAGGAAUUUCAGAGUUUAAUCCAUACCUGAUUGUGGGUUACUUCUUACAGUGUCCCCAUCAAAUGGUUAUCCAGGUUUUACUUAAAGCUCUCAAGAGAGGAAGAACCUAUUACCCAACCUGAGUUAUUGCACUUCAGUUGUGGAUAGAUCUUAUUGUUGGGAAAUUUUUCCUUAUGUCCAAGUCAAAAUCUGCCUCCACAAAUUAGUUCUAGUUCUGUCUCCUGGUACCAAGCAAAAGAAAAUUAAUUUUUUUUCCACCUGCCCUCCCCUCUAAGUUUCUUCCCAGUAGUUUAGCAGCCCUCCCCAGUCUCAAAGUUUAGGUGAUGAGGAAGCAGAUACUUGUGUUUUUAAGACAGUUUAGAAGGAGAUUGACCAAAUAGCCACCUCCAGCUUUGCUUUUCAUUAAAAAAAAUAAUUAAUGCCUUCAAAAAAUACCAAUUCCUUUCCACUUCCUCAUUUCUAUGACAGAGAACUAAACAUCUCAGAAAAUCAGUUAGUAAUUCAAUUUCAAGAAGUCCUUGAAGUCUAUUCUCUAUCUGAAGUGUGGGUCCCUCUACUUGCUUGGAUACUUCAAUAUUAUUAGAAUGUAAGCUCAUUGAGGCCAGGGACUACUUUUCUUUUUGUUGUUGUAACUCCAGGACUUAGCUCAUAGUAGGUACAAAAUAAAUGAUUGUUGGAUUAGAUACUAAAGAAAAUU